rnacentral:rRNA from 1 species
GGCAAGCGUUUUUCGGAAUUACUGGGCGUAAAGGGCGCGUCGGCGGCCUUCUAAGUCAGACGUGAAAUCCCCCGGCUUAACCUGGGAACUGCGUCUGAUACUGGGAGGCUUGAGUAUGGGAGAGGGAUGUAGAAUUCCAGGUGUAGCGGUGAAAUGCGUAGAUAUCUGGAGGAAUACCGGUGGCGAAGGCGGCAUCCUGGACCAUAACUGACGCUGAGGCGCGAAAGCUAGGGGAGCAAACGGG